AAAGAAGCUAACCUAGACAGUGCCCCGGGAGGGGAGACACCUGAUGAAGGAUAUACACAUGCUGUGAGUGCAUACAGCACGAAAUCUCCAUGGUGACUCUCAGGUUCAGAUACCCAGAAGUUCACCCAACAUACCUAACUGAAAAUAUCCCAAGGUAAAAUGCAUGUAAUUGUAGUUUUCCAAAUGAAAAGUGGCAGGUCUGGGAAUCUGCCACCCCCUAAUCUUGCUCUGCACUGUACUGGGGACUCCAUAUAUCUAAUGCUUAAGCAAACUCCAGAGAUAGCACCUCAGCAGCAGCACCUUGUAGCAUUCAAAGAUGGAACAAGGAACAAAAAUGUAUGAAACAAAAAUGGAACAUUGCCUGAGGACAAAUCUAACACCGAGGAUGAAGGAAGAAGGAAAUGCUGGCCAACUCCAGCCAAUCAGAGGCCCAUCAGGGGUCAGUGUCCAGGAACUCAUCUUGUAUUGUAUCUGUGCUCCAAGAACUGAACAACACCUUGAACAGGCCUCUUCUUUAAGGACCCACCUUAAAUCAAAGCAAGCCACUGUGGACUCAGUGAAAAACUGACCAAUCCUGGAGGAAAGUUAUAUAUUUAUCUUCUAUGUACUGUUAAUAUUUUACAACUGUUGAUUAUCAAUUCACAUUUAUUCAAUUCAUUCAAAAUAAACCACAUAAGGGUUUUCUUUUCCCCCAGUGUAUCUAGAAAAAUCAACCAUUAAUUUUACAAUCCUUGUAUCAGCCCAUAAUAAAAAAGCUGUUCCCAUGAGC